UUGAUCUUAGCUAUUCUGACUGCUGUG
rnacentral:misc_RNA from 1 species